rnacentral:rRNA from 1 species
GACGAACGCUGGCGGCGUGCUUAACACAUGCAAGUCGAGCGGAAAGGCCCUGCUUUUGUGGGGUGCUCGAGUGGCGAACGGGUGAGUAACACGUGAGUAACCUGCCCUUGACUUUGGGAUAACUUCAGGAAACUGGGGCUAAUACCGGAUAGGAGCUCCUGCUGCAUGGUGGGGGUUGGAAAGUUUCGGCGGUUGGGGAUGGACUCGCGGCUUAUCAGCUUGUUGGUGAGGUAGUGGCUUACCAAGGCUUUGACGGGUAGCCGGCCUGAGAGGGUGACCGGCCACAUUGGGAGUGAGAUACGGCCCAGACUCCUACGGGAGGCAGGAGGGGGGAAUAUUGCACAAUGGGCGGAAGCCUGAUGCAGCAACGCCGCGUGCGGGAUGACGGCCUUCGGGUUGUAAACCGCUUUCGCCUGUGACGAAGCGUGAGUGACGGUAAUGGGUAAAGAAGCACCGGCUAACUACGU